GGCGAGCUAGCAAAGGUGUAAUGCACGGGUCUGCAAAACCGGUAGGCGCGGUUCAAUUCCCGCCCUCGCC
rnacentral:tRNA from 1 species